rnacentral:piRNA from 1 species
UGCCAUAGAGUGACUCAGACCCCUUGGC